GAUGAACGCUGGCGGCGUGCCUAAUACAUGCAAGUCGAGCGAACGGACGAGAAGCUUGCUUCUCUGAUGUUAGCGGCGGACGGGUGAGUAACACGUGGAUAACCUACCUAUAAGACUGGGAUAACUUCGGGAAACCGGAGCUAAUACCGGAUGAUAUUUUGAACCGCAUGGUUCAAAAGUGAAAGACGGUCUUGCUGUCACUUAUAGAUGGAUCCGCGCUGCAUUAGCUAGUUGGUAAGGUAACGGCUUACCAAGGCAACGAUGCAUAGCCAACCUGAGAGGGUGAUCGGCCACACUGGAACUGAGACACGGUCCAGACUCCUACGGGAGGCAGCAGUAGGGAAUCUUCCGCAAUGGGCGAAAGCCUGACGGAGCAACGCCGCGUGAGUGAUGAAGGUCUUCGGAUCGUAAAACUCUGCUAUUAGGGAAGAACAUAUGUGUAAGUAACUGUGCACAUCUUGACGGUACCUAAUCAGAAAGCCACGGCUAACUACGUG
rnacentral:rRNA from 1 species